UACGAAGGGGGCUAGCGUUGCUCGGAAUCACUGGGCGUAAAGCGCACGUAGGCGGAUUGUUAAGUCAGGGGUGAAAUCCUGGAGCUCAACUCCAGAACUGCCUUUGAUACUGAUGAGCUUGAGUUCGGGAGAGGUGAGUGGAACUGCGAGUGUAGAGGUGAAAUUCGUAGAUAUUCGCAAGAACACCAGUGGCGAAGGCGGCUCACUGGCCCGAUACUGACGCUGAGGUGCGAAAGCGUGGGGAGCAAACAGGG
rnacentral:rRNA from 1 species